rnacentral:rRNA from 1 species
GACGAACGCUGGCGGCGUGCCUAAUACAUGCAAGUAGAACGCUGAAGGAGGAGCUUGCUUCUCUGGAUGAGUUGCGAACGGGUGAGUAACGCGUAGGUAACCUGCCUGGUAGCGGGGGAUAACUAUUGGAAACGAUAGCUAAUACCGCAUAAGAGUAGAUGUUGCAUGACAUUUGCUUAAAAGGUGCAAUUGCAUCACUACCAGAUGGACCUGCGUUGUAUUAGCUAGUUGGUGAGGUAACGGCUCACCAAGGCGACGAUACAUAGCCGACCUGAGAGGGUGAUCGGCCACACUGGGACUGAGACACGGCCCAGACUCCUACGGGAGGCAGCAGUAGGGAAUCUUCGGCAAUGGACGGAAGUCUGACCGAGCAACGCCGCGUGAGUGAAGAAGGGUUUCGGAUCGUAAAGCUCUGUUGUAAGAGAAGAACGAGUGUGAGAGUGGAAAGUUCACACUGUGACGGUAUCUUACCAGAAAGGGACGGCUAACUACGUG